rnacentral:rRNA from 1 species
AACACAUGCAAGUCGAACGGAGUGGUCUCCCGAAGACCUGACGAGCUUGCUCUGAUGGAAUUCAUUGAAUCGACUUAGUGGCGGACGGGUGAGUAACGCGUGGGAAACCUGCCCUAUACUGGGGGAUAGCAGUUGGAAACGACUGAUAAUACCGCAUAAGCGCACAGGACCGCAUGGUCUAGUGUGAAAAACUCCGGUGGUAUAGGAUGGUCCCGCGUCUGAUUAGCUAGUUGGUGAGGUAACGGCCCACCAAGGCGACGAUCAGUAGCCGGCCUGAGAGGGUGUACGGCCACAUUGGGACUGAGACACGGCCCAAACUCCUACGGGAGGCAGCAGUGGGGAAUAUUGGACAAUGGGGGAAACCCUGAUCCAGCCGACGCCGCGUGAACGAUGAAGUAUUUCGGUAUGUAAAGUUCUAUCAGCAGGGAAGAUAAUGACGGUACCUGACUAAGAAGCACCGGCUAAAUACGUGCCAGCAGCCGC